rnacentral:lncRNA from 1 species
GAUAGAUGUGAGAUGGCAUGUGGAAGGGGUGCAAAAAAUUCCCAAAGGCAACCCAUCGCGAAGUAUUUAAGGGGGGUGCGCCGAGGGAUUGGAUUCAUUCAGAUUUUCAAUUCCUCCUUUCUUUCUAACAUUCUCUCCCUAUUAUCCAAUUAGUCUCUUUCUUCUCUUGUUUGAACAAGUCCAAAAAUAGUAAGGAUCAGUCUGAUUUUAGGACA